rnacentral:lncRNA from 1 species
CGUGUUGUUGAUCUUGAUAGCACCUGAACGAUAUACUUCCUCAACAACAUAGGGACCUUCCCAUUUAGAGAGAAGCUUGCCUGCAAAGAAUCUUAAACGAGAGUUAUAUAACAAGACAUAAUCAGCUACAUUGAACUCACGCUUUUGUAUCCUCUUAUCAUGCCACCUCUUAACCUUCUCUUUGAACAGCUUGGCAUUCUCAUAUGCC